GGUUGUAUAGUGUAGUUGGCCUAGCACAUCGGAUUCUGAUAGCUCAGAAUAUUCCGGUAACCCCGGUUCGAAUCCGGGUACGACCU
rnacentral:tRNA from 1 species